rnacentral:lncRNA from 1 species
GGACUACAGGUGGAUACACAAUAGGUGGUGUCACAAUUGGUGGUGUUGGUACUACAGGUGGAUAAACAAUGGGUGGUUUUGGCACAUAAGGUGGUGUAACUGGCACAACUGGUGGUUUUGGGAUAUAUGGUGGUCUAACUGGGACAACAGGUGGUUUUGGGACAUAAGGAGGGUUCACAAUUGGUGGUUUUGGAACAUAUGGUGGUGUAACUGGCACAACUGGUGGUUUUGGGACAUAGGGAGGGUUCACAACUGGUGGCUUCGGGAC